rnacentral:rRNA from 1 species
GAUGAACGCUGGCGGCGUGCCUAAUACAUGCAAGUCGAGCGAACGGACGAGAAGCUUGCUUCUCUGAUGUUAGCGGCGGACGGGUGAGUAACACGUGGAUAACCUACCUAUAAGACUGGGAUAACUUCGGGAAACCGGAGCUAAUACCGGAUAAUAUUUUGAACCGCAUGGUUCAAAAGUGAAAGACGGUCUUGCUGUCACUUAUAGAUGGAUCCGCGCUGCAUUAGCUAGUUGGUAAGGUAACGGCUUACCAAGGCAACGAUGCAUAGCCGACCUGAGAGGGUGGUCGGCCACACUGGAACUGAGACACGGUCCAGACUCCUACGGGGGGCAGCAGUAGGGAAUCUUCCGCAAUGGGCGAAAGACUGACGGAGCAACGCCGCGUGAGUGAUGAAGGUCUUCGGAUCGUAAAACUCUGUUAUUAGGGAAGAACAUAUGUGUAAGUAACUGUGCACAUCUUGACGGUACCUAAUCAGAAAGCCACGGCUAACUACGUG